rnacentral:rRNA from 1 species
GGGUGAGUAACACGUAUGGAACCUGCCCGCCACAGGGGGAUAACCCGGGGAAACCCGGCCUAAUACCNCACGCCGCCCGGACCGGGCAUCCGGACCGGGCGAAAGGAGGAAUCCGGUGGCGGCUGGGCAUGCGGCGCACUAGCUUGACGGCGGGGUAACGGCCCACCGUGGCGACGAUGCGUAGGGGUUCUGAGAGGAAGGCCCCCCACACUGGAACUGAGACACGGUCCAGACUCCUACGGGAGGCAGCAGUGAGGAAUAUUGGUCAAUGGGCGGAAGCCUGAACCAGCCAAGUCGCGUGAGGGAAUAAGGCCCUACGGGUCGUAAACCUCUUUUGCCGGGGAGCAAGGGCCGGGACGAGUCCCGGCCCGGAGAGUACCCGGAGAAAAAGCAUCGGCUAACUCCGUGCCAGCAGCCGCGGUAAUACGGAGGAUGCGAGCGUUAUCCGGAUUUAUUGGGUUUAAAGGGUGCGUAGGCGGGCUUUUAAGUCAGCGGUAAAAAUUCGGGGCUCAACCCCGUCCGGCCGUUGGAACUGGGGGCCUUGAGUGGGCGAGAAGAAGGCGGAAUGCGUGGUGUAGCGGUGAAAUGCAUAGAUAUCACGCAGAACCCCGAUUGCGAAGGCAGCCUUCCGGCGCCCUACUGACGCUGAGGCACGAAAGUGCGGGGAUCGAACAGGAUUAGAUACCCUGGUAGUCCGCACAGUAAACGAU